AGUCACUGACAUUAGAUACCCGCGUAGUCCCAGCCGUAAACAAUGUGCGUUAGGUGUGUCGGUAACCACGCGUUACUGAUGCGCCGAAGAGAAAUCGUGAAACGCACCACCUGGGAAGUACGGUCGCAAGGCUGAAACUUAAAGGAAUUGGCGGGGGAGCACCACAACAGGUGGAGCCUGCGGUUUAAUUGGAUUCAACGCCGGACAUCUCACCGGAUAAGACAGCUGAAUGAUUGUCAAUCUGAAGGUUUACAUGACUAGCUG
rnacentral:rRNA from 1 species